GAUGAACGCUGGCGGUGUGCCUAAUACAUGCAAGUCGAGCGAACAGACGAGGAGCUUACUCCUCUGACGUUAGCGGCGGACGGGUGAGUAACACGUGGAUAACCUACCUAUAAGACUGGGAUAACUUCGGGAAACCGGAGCUAAUACCGGAUAACAUGUUGAACCGCAUGGUUCAACAGUGAAAGACGGUCUUGCUGUCACUUAUAGAUGGAUCCGCGUCGCAUUAGCUAGUUGGUAAGGUAACGGCUUACCAAGGCAACGAUGCGUAGCCGACCUGAGAGGGUGAUCGGACACACUGGAACUGCGACACGGUCCAGACUCCUACGGGAGGCAGCAGUAGGGAAUCUUCGGCAAUGGGCGAAAGCCUGACGGAGCAACGCCGCGUGAGUGAAGAAGGUCUUCGGAUCGUAAAACUCUGUUAUUAGGGAAGAACAAAUGUGUAAGUAACUAUGCACGUCUUGACGGUACCUAAUCAGAAAGCCACGGCUAACUCCGUG
rnacentral:rRNA from 1 species